AUGAUUAGAUGUGGUAUUGUUGAGGAGAAUGAAGCUAUGCUUGCACGUUUUCUGGGUGGAUUAAAUAGAGAGAUUCAGACCAUUCUAGACUAUAAGGAGUAUACUAAUAUCACUCGUUUAUUCCAUCUUGCUUGUAAAGCUGAACGUGAAGUGCAGGAUCGACAAGCAUUGGGGCGAACUAACUUUUCUGCAGGCCGACCUUCAUCAUGGACACCACGUGCAUCUUCUACUUCAACUGCACCAGCACCUCCAUCCGGUGCCACCUCCAGCCGUGAUACAAGAAAACAGGCACAACCACCAUUAUCUGCCAAGAGCGCACCUGCGGGGCCUGCACAGCGUUCUUCUUCUUCCAUGGCAUCAAUAGGGCACACAAGUGAUAUUAUUUGUCGUCGUUGUAAGGGAGGAGGUCAUUAUGCGAGAGAAUGCAAAUCUCCGUGA
rnacentral:rRNA from 1 species